rnacentral:lncRNA from 1 species
CUCAGUCCACACAGGGAGAAGGCCGCUUUAAACCAGUGUCAAAAUGUGUAACUCUUCUCAUUGAGAUACACCCAAUCAACAACACAAAGGUCCUGAAGGCAGUGGACUGCAAAGUCAAAGUGCAGUUUCUUCAUCCUAAGACAUGUCGGACCACCGUACUGGAGAGUCAUUUGCUGUUGGCGGCAGAGGAUGGCUAUGUUGAUCAGUACCACAUUACUCGGAUGAGGCAGGAG